UUCUGUUUUUUAAAGAAAUAAUAUCUAACAUAUCUUUGAUUGAGAAAAAUAUUUUUUUUUAUUAUAAAUUGUUUUUAAAAAUAAACCCCUAUUUUUUUGGGUUUACUAAAGAAAUUUAGAAUUUAGAAUAGCAUUUUAAAAUUAAAAGAUAAAUUUAUAAGUUUUAAAUAAAAGUAUAGGACAUAUAAGCAAAAGUUUAUUAUUAUUAUUAGGGUAAACUUCAAAUACCACCCAUGUGGUUUCGCACUUUCUCAUUUUAGUACCAUGUGGUUUAGGCUUAGUUUGGUAUUUAGGUGGAUCUAACGCUAUUAGAUAGAAUGGAGUUAAGAAAAAGCCAUAACCGACUAACCGUAAUAUGCGGAACGCAAUAUUACGUACGGAAACAAAUAAGGUAUUUUUCCAUCGUCGUUUCUCACCGCACGUAACGCAAUCUCCUCACAAUCCCAAACGAAACCUUAAGGUGUAUCAAGUUAGUGUCAUGUUGUUUCAUUUUUAUCUUUUCGUCGGCUUUUUCUUUAAUAUUUCGUUAAAUUAUAUGCAAAAAAACUUCAGAUACCCUGCCUAGAAUUAUCGAAUAUUCACUUUAAUACUCUUUAAUUUUAACUUUAUCACUAAUUUAACGAAAAAAUUAGUGAAAUCGAUAAUAAAAAUGUAAAAAGAAAACAAUAAGGCACUAAUAAAUUGAUACACUUUAAAUCAUAUGACAUUAAAGUGAGAACGCGUGAAACUAUAGGGUUAGUAUUUGAAGUUUUUUUUUUAUUAUUAUUAUUUUAUCCUUGUGAAACAUUUACCUCGUUUUGGGGGGUAAAAGCGUAAAAAGGUCGUGUAUUUGUCUCCUAACCACCGGAACGCGUGAUGCGGACGAAUCAAAGCCGUCCGUACGGUUGCUUCUCCCCUCCUUCCUAGUUGCAGAAACUGUACCCCCACUUGAUAUUGUUCCCUGCACCAGGUGCAAGCAUACACCUUAUACACCACUCUUUUUUAGGAUAAAUUUCAUGUAGCUUGUUGUAAAUACAUCGAAUAGCAAAUAUAUAUUCCUAAAAGGUUCAACUUUUUAUAUUUAUCCCUACAAAAGUCCAGUGAUAUUCAUAUUUCCCGCUCUGCUUUGUUACUGUUAAUUAGAGCACUAUUUGAGAAUAAGUGAAAUGAUAUUUUUAUCAUCAUAAAUAUGUCAUUUCAAAGGUCCCAACUGUUAAACUUAUACAAAUAUAUCCUCUAAAAAAUCUCAAACAAUCAUCUUCUUUAAGGAGGAUGAAAAGAUCAAUUUAUCUUAUUCACUAACCAUGGUUAAGUAUUUUAUCUAUGGUUAACUAUAUUUUUCUAAGGGAUCCGAACAGUAGGGACAUUAGGACUUUUGCAAAGAUAAAUAUGAAAAGUUGAACUUCGCAGGAAUAUAUAUAUGCUAUUUGAUAUGUUUACAAAAAACUAUAUGCAAUUAACUUUUUUUUUUUUUUUUAAAAGGUAAACUUCAAUUUGUGUCUGCUGCGUUAUAGCGUAUUCUCACUUUAAUUAUCAGCUUUUCGUUUAAAAGUUUUACUUAAUUACUCUAUAAUUUUAUUUUUAUUUCACCCAAAAAAUUUAUUGUUAAAUAAUAAUAUAAAAUAAAUAUUUUAAAAAGCAACAGUUAUUUACUCCAGUAACAAAAGUAUAGAUAGUUAAGCAAGAUAAAAGCACCCAUAU
rnacentral:lncRNA from 1 species